UACAGAGGUCUCAAGCGUUGUUCGGAUUCAUUGGGCGUAAAGGGUGCGUAGGUGGGUUGGUAAGUCAGUGGUGAAAUCUCCAGGCUUAACUUGGAAACUGCCAUUGAUACUAUCAAUCUUGAAUACCGUGGAGGUCAGCGGAAUAUGUCAUGUAGCGGUGAAAUGCUUAGAUAUGACAUAGAACACCAAUUGCGAAGGCAGCUGGCUACACGAAUAUUGACACUGAGGCACGAAAGCGUGGGGAUCAAACAGG
rnacentral:rRNA from 1 species